rnacentral:rRNA from 1 species
GACGAAGGGGGCUAGCGUUGUUCGGAAUUACUGGGCGUAAAGCGCGUGUAGGCGGUUGCCCAGGUCGGGUGUGAAAGCCUUGAGCUCAACUCAAGAAAUGCACUCGGUACUGGGUGACUAGAGGACCGGAGAGGAUAGUGGAAUUCCCAGUGUAGUGGUGAAAUACGUAGAGAUUGGGAAGAACACCAGGUGGCGAAGGCGGCGUCUGUCGGACGUCUGACG